AUUGAACGCUGGCGGCAGGCCUAACACAUGCCAGUCGAGCGGAUGAAGGGAGCUUGCUCCUGGAUUCAGCGGCGGACGGGUGAGUAAUGCCUAGGAAUCUGCCUGGUAGUGGGGGAUAACGUCCGGAAACGGGCGCUAAUACCGCAUACGUCCUGAGGGAGAAAGUGGGGGAUCUUCGGACCUCACGCUAUCAGAUGAGCCUAGGUCGGAUUAGCUAGUUGGUGGGGUAAAGGCCUACCAAGGCGACGAUCCGUAACUGGUCUGAGAGGAUGAUCAGUCACACUGGAACUGAGACACGGUCCAGACUCCUACGGGAGGCAGCAGUGGGGAAUAUUGGACAAUGGGCGAAAGCCUGAUCCAGCCAUGCCGCGUGUGCGAAGAAGGUCUUCGGAUUGUAAAGCACUUUAAGUUGGGAGGAAGGGCAGUAAGUUAAUACCUUGCUGUUUUGACGUUACCAACAGAAUAAGCACCGGCUAACUUCGU
rnacentral:rRNA from 1 species